AGAGUUUGAUCCUGGCUCAGGAUGAACGCUGGCGGCGUGCCUAAUACAUGCAAGUCGAACGCACAGCGAAAGGUGCUUGCACCUUUCAAGUGAGUGGCGAACGGGUGAGUAACACGUGGAUAACCUACCUCAAGGUUGGGGAUAACAUUUGGAAACAGAUGCUAAUACCGAAUAAAACUUCGUAUCGCAUGAUACAAGGUUAAAAGGCGCUACGGCGUCACCUAGAGAUGGAUCCGCGGUGCAUUAGUUAGUUGGUGGGGUAAAGGCCUACCAAGACAAUGAUGCAUAGCCGAGUUGAGAGACUGAUCGGCCACAUUGGGACUGAGACACGGCCCAAACUCCUACGGGAGGCUGCAGUAGGGAAUCUUCCACAAUGGGCGAAAGCCUGAUGGAGCAACGCCGCGUGUGUGAUGAAGGCUUUCGGGUCGUAAAGCACUGUUGUAUGGGAAGAACAGCUAGAGUAGGGAAUGACUUUAGUUUGACGGUACCAAACCAGAAAGGGACGGCUAAAUACGUGCCAGCAGCCGCGGUAAUACGUAUGUCCCGAGCGUUAUCCGGAUUUAUUGGGCGUAAAGCGAGCGCAGACGGUUGAUUAAGUCUGAUGUGAAAGCCCGGAGCUCAACUCCGGAAAGGCAUUGGAAACUGGUCAACUUGAGUGCAGUAGAGGUAAGUGGAACUCCAUGUGUAGCGGUGGAAUGCGUAGAUAUAUGGAAGAACACCAGCGGCGAAGGCGGCUUACUGGACUGUAACUGACGUUGAGGCUCGAAAGUGUGGGUAGCAAACAGGAUUAGAUACCCUGGUAGUCCACACCGUAAACGAUGA
rnacentral:rRNA from 1 species